rnacentral:rRNA from 1 species
AGUGAACGCUGGCGGCAGGCCUAACACAUGCAAGUCGAACGGCAGCACAAGAGGGCUUGCUCUCUGGGUGGCGAGUGGCGGACGGGUGAGGCAUGCAUCGGAAUCUGCCCAUUUGUGGGGGAUAACCUCGGGAAACCGGGACUAAUACCGCAUACGACCUACGGGUGAAAGCAGGGGAUCUUCGGACCUUGCGCAGAUGGAUGAGCCGAUGCCGGAUUAGCUAGUGGGAGGGGUAAGGGCCCACCAAGGCGACGAUCCGUAGCUGGUCUGAGAGGAUGAUCGGCGACACUGGGAGUGAGCCACGGCCCAGGCUCCUGCGGGAGGCAGCAGUGGGGAAUAUUGGACAGUGGGGGCAAGCCUUAUCCAGCCAUGCCGCGUGUGUGAAGAAGGCGUUCGGGUUGUAAAGCACUUUUGUUGGGAAAGAAAAGCAGCCGGUUAAUACCCGGUUGUCAUGACGGUACCCAAAGAAUAAGCACCGGCUAACUUCGUG